CCUACGGGUGGCAGCAGUGAGGAAUAUUGGUCAAUGGACGCAAGUCUGAACCAGCCAUGCCGCGUGCAGGAAGACGGCUCUAUGAGUUGUAAACUGCUUUUGUACGAGGGUAAACGCAGAUACGCGUAUCUGUCUGAAAGUAUCGUACGAAUAAGGAUCGGCUAACUCCGUGCCAGCAGCCGCGGUAAUACGGAGGAUUCAAGCGUUAUCCGGAUUUAUUGGGUUUAAAGGGUGCGUAGGCGGUCGGAUAAGUUAGAGGUGAAAUCCCGAGGCUCAACUUCGGAAUUGCCUCUGAUACUGUUCGGCUAGAGAGUAGUUGCGGUAGGCGGAAUGUAUGGUGUAGCGGUGAAAUGCUUAGAGAUCAUACAGAACACCGAUUGCGAAGGCAGCUUACCAAGCUACUUCUGACGUUGAGGCUCGAAAGCGUGGGGAGCGAACAGGAUUAGAUACCCGGGUAGUC
rnacentral:rRNA from 1 species